ACCCCACGUUGAGUGCCGCUGUGCCAGACAUGUUGGAGCUCCAGUACGAACCGGAGUCCAAGGCAGAGAAACGGAUGAAUUUUCAAAGAACAUAUUUACAGAGAUAACCUCUCACCCAUCCUGACGGUAUCCACUGGAUCAUCUUUUCUUUCUGCAUAGAUAUUUCAGAAGGCUGAGGAC